rnacentral:sRNA from 1 species
CUUUUUGUUGGCAGCUCCAACAUCAAACUAGAGCUGAUGGCUGGUGACUUUAGUCACCGGCCU